UGGGCGGGGACGGUGGCGGCGGCUCCGGCUUUGGGGAGGGGGUGCGGCGCUGGGCCCCCUUAGCUGGAGUGCAGGCUCCGCCCACCCUUUGGGUCUAACCUCCGCGUUCCAAAGUUCCAGCUCCAGCCCUGCGCACUUGGGGACUUCUGCGUGAGGGUCUCUCGCCCCGGCCACAAAUCCCGAGCCGCACCUCUUAAUCGAGGCUCAGGCGUCCCGAGCGGAUCCCGCUUUCUUUUUUCCCUGUGCUGUUUGCAGUCCCACGGCCUCGCACAGAGAAAGUGCCUGACCCCAAGACCUGUGAUGAGACCGCCUAUUUUGUUUUUGUUAUAUACUAAUAGAUAUAGAUAUAUAGAUACAGUCAAUUAUCUGUAAAAUCGGCCAUGUCUCUGCCACCUGGGUAAAAAGGUGUCUCGAAAUUGGGGGCGGAGUCUCUUUUCUGACCCUACCCAAACGCACACAGAAACAACCCCAACAUUUGCAGAGCCCUUAAGCCUGUACACCCAAUGAGGAAUCGCUGGUUAGAGGCCGCGUGAAGGACACCCUGACCAAGCUGGGUCCUGCCCAUGCCGGUAGAUCGUCCAUGGCUUCCCUUGGGGGCUGCCACCCACUGUAAACCUGAGCAAGUUCCUCUCCUGUUCCGAAGCCUGCCCUGGCAAAGCCCCAGUACAUAUUCCAAUCCUGCUCUAGGGAGACUCCUAUGCAUUCAUCAAGGUCCAGCUCAAAUCUGGCCACCCUCAGUGGCUUUUCCUGACGCUCUCAGCAGAACCAAACCUCCAGCUUUGUUAUGUGUUGGUGUUGCAGUACACAGUGAAGCAGGACAGCCCUCAUCUCCUUGAGAACAAGAACAAAGCCUGACAUCCCAGCAGCUUGCACAGUGCUGGCGGGGCACGCUGUAAGUGCUCAGCUGAUGGUUGUUGAAUUGCUCUGAAUGGAUUGUGAGCAAGAGACCAGCAGGGGUGGAGGCUGACAGGAGAGACAGCGCCUGCCUCUGUACUCUAAAGUGCCGGGGAACUCGUGGUGAUUUGGAUCCAGUUCAGGCACCUGAAGCCCAGUUAAAGAGAAGGAAUCUUCAGUCUUUUCUCUCUCAGCAGAUACAGCCGGGCACGGUGGCUCACACCUGUAAUCCCA
rnacentral:lncRNA from 1 species